rnacentral:rRNA from 1 species
AAUAAUAUAAUUUAAAUAUAAUAAAUAAAAAUGAAUUCCUAUAAUUUUAAUAAGUGAAAAAAGACAUACAAUUUAUUUUUAAAAAUUAUAAAAAAAUAAAUAAUGAAAUUUAUAUUUUAAUAAUUAAUAAAUAUUAAAAAUAAGUAUCUGAAUAUAUAAAUAUUUUAUUUAAUAACAAACCUAGAGAACUGAAUCAUCUUAGUAUCUAGAGGAAAAUAAAGUAACAACGAUUUUUUAAGUAGAGGCGAUCGAAAAAAAAUAAAUUAAUAAAAUAGUAUAUAUUAAAUAAAUAUAUUUAUUUAAAGUAAAAUAAUUACAAAUUUUAUUUGAACAUAAACUAGUAUCAUCUUGUAAACUUAAAAAUAUAUUAAAAUUUAAUAGAGAAAUAGUACUGUGAAGGAAAGGUGAAAAGAUAUUUGGAAAAAUAAUUGAAAAGAUAAUGAAAUUUUUAUUUAUUUUAAAAUUUAAUUUAAUUUAAAAUAAUUAAAUUAAUUGCUUGUUGAAGAAUGAGUCAGUGAGUUAUAAUAAUACAAACAUAUUAAAAAAUUUUUAAAUAAUAGAUAACACAAAUUUAAAAUUAAUAAGUUAAUUUAUAUUUGUAUAUUAUAGACCCGAACCCAAAUGAUCUAAUUAUAUAUAAGAAUAUAAUUUAUUUUAAUAAAUUAUAUGUCUGAACUAAUUGAUGUUGCAAAAUCAUUAGAAAAUAUAUAAUUAGCUGUGAAAUGCUAAUCGAAUUUGGAGCUAACUGGUUUUCUCCGAAAUGUAUUUAGGUACAGAUUUUAUGUAAUAUAUUUAAUAAAAGGUAGAGAUAUGUAUAAUUAUUUUUAUAUUUUAUAUAAUAUAAAAAUAAUUUAACAAACUAAUAAAUUUUUAUUAAUUUAUAAUUAACUUUUUAAGUUUUUUUAUAAUUUAAAUAUCAUAAAAAUUGAGACUAUUAGGGAUAAGCUUAAUUGUCAAGAGGGAAACAGCCCAGAUUAUUAGAUAAGGUCCAUAAAUAUUAAUUAAGUUUUUUAAAGAUAGUUUUAAUAUGAUUACAACUAAAAUAUUAAGCUUAGAAGCAGCUAUUAUUUAAAGAGUGCGUAACAGCUCAUUAGUAAAAUAAUAUAGCAUCAAAAAUAAUCAGGAAUAAAUUAAUUACCGAUUCUAUAAAUUUUAUAUAAAAUAUUUAAAAUUAAUAUUUUAAUAUAAUAAAAUGGUAGGAGAACUUUUUAUAAAAAUAAAUUAUAUGUAAAUUAAAUAAUAAAUUAAUUUUAUAAAAGAGAUAAUGCUGAUUUAAGUAAUAAAAUAUUGAAAUAAAUUCAAUACCUUUAAUAUUUAAGGUUUCCUAUUAAUUGAGUUUUUCUAAUAGGGUUAGUCGAGACCUAAUACUAGACUAAAUGUGUAAUAGAUGGGUUAUAAAUUAAUAUUUUUAUACUUUUAUUUUUAUAUAAAAAUUUAUAAUUUCUUUUAUAAAGAAAAAAAUAUUUUAAAUUUAUAAAAAAAAUAAAUACUCGUAUUAAAUCUUAAACAUGUUAAUAGGUGGAAUAAAUAUUAAGAGGAUGAGUAAAUUAUCUUUAAGGAACUAGGCAAAUUGAUUCUGUAACUUAGGGAUAAAGAAUGCUCUUUGAGCAAUAUAUACUUGGUUCAAACGACUGUUUAUCAAAAACACAAGCUUUUGCAAAGUUUAAUAAUGAUGUAUAAAAGCUGACGUCUGCCCAGUUCUAGUAAGUGAAUAAAAAUGUUAAAUACAAUAUAUAUUUUAAUAAACUCUAGUUAAACGGCGGCUGUAUUCAUAACGGUCCGAAGGUAGCGAAAUUCCUUGUCGGGUAAGUUCCGACCUGCAUGAAAGACGUAACGAUUUGAACACUGUCUUAAAGAUAAUCUCAAUGAAAUAAUAAUAUCUGUGAAGAUACGGAUAACUUACACUAGGACAGAAAGACCCUAUGAAGCUUCACUAUAAUCUAUUAAUGGAUGAAAAUUUUAAUAAUAUGUAGAAUAAAUGGUUAAAAAUUUAAUUAUAAAUUUUUUAUAUAUGAAAUACCAUUAUAUUAAAAUAAGUAAUUCUAAUUAUUAAAUUAAUAUAACUUAAAAUAAAACAUUUUUAGAUUUGGUAGUUUGACUGGGGCGGUCCCCUCCUAAAUAGUAACGGAGGUGAACAAAGGUUAUAUAAAACUUAAAAUAAAAUUAAAAGUAAAUAAUUACUAAAAGGUAUUAAUUAUUAUAGCUUAACUGUUAAAAAAACAUAUUAAACAGAGAUGAAAAUCGGUCUUAUUGACCCGACAAACUUAUUUAUAAAUGAUUUUGUUGUCGAUAAUCGGAUAAAAGUUACUCUAGGGAUAACAGGCUUAUCUUUCCUGAUAGUUCAUAUUAACGGGAAGGUUUGGCACCUCGAUGUCGGCUUAUCGCAUCCUUGAGAUGAAGAAAGCUCAAAGGGUUGGUUUGUUCACCCAUUAAAGCGGUACGUGAGCUGGGUUCAGAACGUCGCAAGACAGUUUGGUCCAUAUCCAGUGUAAGUUUAUUGAACAUUGCUUAAAUUUUUUUUAGUACGAAAGGAUUAAAAAGAUUAUGUAAAUGGUGUACUAAUUACUUAAAAGUAUAAAUGUUAGGUAGCUAAACAUAAAUAAAAAUAUAAUCAUUGAAAGCAUAUAAAUGAGAAAUUUAUAAUAAAUAUGUUCUAUUAAUUUAAGAUAUCAUUUAUAUUAAAUGAUAAAAAAAUAAUUUUGCAUAAAUAUAGCAAUAUACUUAACAAAUAUAAUAUAUAUUUAUUU